AUGAAAACCUUUCAGGAAUAAAAACCAGCCCUCUGCAGGCGGUUGAGGCUUGCAGAGCACCAGUCGCUCUGAUGGGAAGCGAUGGGGGAGUCGAGCCAAGGGCUGGUCGGCUGGUGAAGGACCCAUUAUAACUGCUUGCACUUGUAGUUUGACUUUGUUUUCACAAUUCUUAUCUUGGAGAACAUGUGAUCCAAAUGCAUUCAGUCUUGAUGCCCCCAUUAGCUACCUCCUUAAUUAUGUUGAGGUCUUGUUUACUUCAUUCAUGUUGUGGAAGCAUAAAUAUUUUAAAAGGUAUCUGAUAUGCAUGGACACUGCAGUUAAACUACACUACAUAAUGUACUGUAGGUAGUUGGUAUGGAUGGUGAGGGUGUAAAUGCAGUAAUGACACCACUGUGGUGCGUUCAUUUGAAUGCAUGGUUCUUCAUUCUCCUGGUCUGGAUCCAACAUGGUAGCAAACUGGAUGGUUGUUGACAUUUUGAAUAAACUUUGGAAUAAAAAGUUUCUUUGUCAGUAGAUAAUUUUAUGGCUUGUAUCAAACUACAAAAAUGUCCAAACAGGGUGGAGUGGAACGCUGUGACCUGGAGCAUGGCGCAGCAUAAAAUGUCUCAUUAAUAUUUCAAAAGACCGAAGCUUUAAAAGGCCUCAGAACAGGGAAACGAGGGUCUGUAGACCUGCAAAGCAUUGAGGAUCUACUUUAUAUAGACCAUAAAUGAAGGAUCUACAUGUGGAAAGGAAGGAUUUAAAAACAUGACACGUUUAAAAGAUCCCAGUACCAUGAAAGCUGCAUGAACAGCUUGGCUUGGCGCCCCCUGCUGGCUGUGGAUCCAAACUGAGACUCUAAAAAUGACAGUAAGUUCUGGAAAUGGAAACCAAAAUAAAACCUCAGAGAAGAAAUGAAUGGAAAAAACAUUUAUUACAGUUCUGCACUUAUUUCAUACAUCAUCUCCCUAAAAAUGGAAAACAAAUUAUACAGAGAUGAAAAGUCCAAAACUUCUUCCUCUGUUUUAUUUCAAAACAAAAACUAAACUCAGACUAAAGAAUCAGAAAUGAAAGAUUAACGCUGCCCUCCUGCAACAAUAUUCAGUUUUUGGUGCUUCACAAACAUCAUGUAGAGUUUAUCAUUGUUCUGAAAUCUUUAUAGUAACAAACUGGAUGAUAAUCUCUUAAUUAUGAAGGUCUGAUGAACCAAAGUGUUUGGAACUGAACUGAACAGAAAGUCUCUAGACCAGAUUAAAAUCUCCUGUUAUUAACGAUGGACAAUAUGGUCCUAUCAGUAUUUCCU